rnacentral:lncRNA from 1 species
AAUAUUUGGACGACUUACAUGUAAGUCGUCCAGCUAAAAUUAUUCACCAGACGACUUCCAUGGAAGUCGUCUAGACCCUAAACAAAACCUCUAAACUUAAUUAACUAACUAAACACUUCAUAAAUCAAAUUAAACUUCAAAAGUGUUUACUAUACACAAAAAUAAACACUUACAGGUAAAAAUUUAAUUUAAAAAAAAAAUUCAAGCUUUCUAAAAUCUAAUCCUAAGAAUACAUACAAUACUCCAACAUAUGUUGCCAAACCCUAGACCAAAGAAUACCAUAAUUCACUACCUACCC